UUAUUCUCUCUCUUUCUCUAUACAUUAUUUCUUACAUGGUAUCAGAGCUGGUUUAAAACCUAGUAUUUUCGCUUCCCCGGCGGGCGGCAACCUCACCUUAGCCGCCCGCCGGACCUCAACCUAUUCCGCUGAUAAAAUCAACAAAGAUUUGUGCAACUGUAGUCAUGUGUGAGGCUGAUGGAGAAGAAUUCUUCACCUCAUUUGACGAGACAGUCUGGAACUGGAAACACUGCAACAUUCUGCUCUGGAAUUCUGCAGCAGCUAGAUUAUAGCUUGGUUGAGUGCCAAGCUUUGGUUCUUCCACCCACUCUUGAACUUGCCCAGCAGAGUGUGAAGGUUCAUGCUUGUGUUGGAGGGACUAGUGUGCGCGAAGAUCAGCGCAUUCUCUCCAGUGGGGUUCAUGUUGUUGUUGGUACUCCUGGCCGUGUGUUUGAAGCUGAUGAAAUGCUGUCACGAGGUUUUUAAAAAUCAGAUCUAUGAUAUUUUCCAGUUGCUGCCACCCAAAAUCCAGGUUGGGGUGUUCUCAGUUGCUGUCACCCAAAAUCCAGGUUGGGGUGUUCUCUGCCACAAUGCCACCAGAGGCUCUUGAAAUCACCAGGAAAUUCAUGAAUAAGCCUGGAAAGAGAAAAAGCUCAUGCUAGGAUUUGCGAAGUGAUUCGCUGCAGGAAUUUUGGCUUUGGAUGAAACCCUUACCAUAC